rnacentral:lncRNA from 1 species
AUGGGAAACUGAGGCCCAGGGCAGUGCAGUAACAAGAGAUGAUAUUGGAAAUCCAGCUCUGCCUCAAACUAUCCAGGAAACAGUUAAAGAAUUAGUAUUCUGUGGUGACCUCCCACUUCCUUUUCACAACCUCCCACCCCAGGAGCCUGGACAUCAAAUCUCUUCUGAGUAAAGGGCACUUUUUUCUGAGCCUCUGCUUGGCCUCUUUGAUCUUGGGGGGAACUUCUGCCUGUGCCAUUGUAGAUCCUUGCACUGCAGGGCUCACCUGGCCUCUGCUCAAGCAGAACGCAGCACUCCUGCUCUCCAUUCCUCAUAACUAGCACAGCACUUUGGCAUGAUGACCCUGGAUGCACCUGUGGAUGCUGACGAGAAGGCUGUGCUCUGCCAGUCCUGCCCACAGCCCUAGCCUCAGGAGAACUACAAGUAGACUGUAAUUGUGAACAGGUUAUGUGCAAUUUAUAACCUGUAACAAAGAAUCUUUAUUUACAACAAAUCUCAUCUUUAGGACAAAGACGAAAAAUAGAGCUGGAAAACCCUAUUUUGUCAAUGAUUCUGGUUAAUUAUAAUUUCCAAAUUGGGUGAGCUGUCUGAUUAAUGCAAGCAACUUUGGGGGAAUAAGUAAUAAUAAUAGUAACAAUAACAAAGAAGAGGAGAAGCAGCAGCUGCUGCAGUUGCUGUCUGGU